rnacentral:lncRNA from 1 species
GCAUUCCUUGGCCUCAGAGGCAGGGCAAAGUGUGCUUAGCUGUCUCACCUGUCUCUGAGGAGCCUCCCUGGCACACCCCACACACCUGACGCUGCUCUGGAAGAAGCCAUGCAACUUGCUGCCACUGCUUUCCUGGCUAGAGAACAUCUGGCUCGGCAGCAGGCAGCCAGUAUAGGACAGCCACUCCUCCACUGGCGGGGCAGCCAGGCACUCAGCUGUGGAGGACCCAUGGGCAGAGAUGCUUAGGAGAAACCUCCCCCAAGUCCUCUGCCUCGGGCUGAUGCUGGUCCUCGCUGUCAACCUCCUCCUGUUGUUUCACACCAAGGAGACCGUACAGAAGUUGAUUCAGCGUGGUCUUCAUGAGGAGCCCCAUCGGCCUCCACCUGAGAGGGAUGAGAUCGUGAUGGACAGGCUGGCCCACCUGGAGGUGGUUAUGCAACAACUGAAAGAAGAUAUGAAGUUGGCUGUGAAGCAACAAGCGAAUGUGCAGGACACACUAAAGAGGGUGAAAGAUGAAGUUCACCCUGCCCCAAAGACAGUGCCACACAACGUGGUGAAGACAAAGAAGCCCCAGGCCCCAAAGAAACUCUUCCCAGACUCUGCACUCUUCCAGAGGUGGGGAGAGGACCUUCCUGAGGCUGAGCAAAGAAAGGCCCAGGACCUGUUCCACAGGUUUGGCUAUAACGUGUACCUCAG